rnacentral:piRNA from 1 species
UGACUGACUACCAUGACCACCUGGUUGAGG